rnacentral:rRNA from 1 species
UACGUAGGGUGCGAGCGUUGUCCGGAAUUAUUGGGCGUAAAGAGCUCGUAGGUGGUUUGUUAAGUCUGUUGUGAAAGCCCCGGGCUCAACCUGGGAAUGGCAAUGGAUACUGGCAAGCUAGAGUGCGGUAGAGGGUAGUGGAAUUCCCGGUGUAGCGGUGAAAUGCGUACGAGAUCGGGAGGAACACCAGUGGGCGAAGGCGGCUACCUGGACCAGCACUGACACUGAGGGCACGAAGCGUGGGGAGCAAACAGG